UGCCACGAAUCAAACUAGCGACAAAUACAGAUUUAAAAAUACGGCAUCGGGAAGGGGCAUUGAACGCAGCAUGUGAGCAAACACACCGCCCACCCGCCCUUGGUCGUGCUGCGUUCACAUGUAAAUCGGAACUGCAGCUUUUCUCUGUGAGACCGCAACAGGAACGCAUUUCUAAAAUAUCGGGUCUAACGUAAGUCCUUGUAGUUGUUGUUACAAAGUUUGGAAAAUAACAGUUUAUAUGGAAAUUAAAGUAGAGCAGUUCAGAAGAAGGAUGGAUGUACAUAGCUGUACCUACUUAAAUGUGUCAAAGCCGAAACACGUUUACGCGUGCGACGCGUUUCAUGUUCGUGAUGUAGAUUGACGAGUGUUUUUCUUCAAACGGCCGUUUGGUCACUUGACGGCUCGGUUGUGACGCCACGGGCAGCCAAUAUUCCGAGGUAGCGGGAACGCGACAUUACUCACACCAAAACCAAAUGUCUGCGUGGCUUCGUCAAUCCUCGAGUGUAACCAAGUAAAGCAGCUACCAGUGAAC